UACAGAGGCCCCAAGCGUUACUGAGAAUCACUGGGUUUAAAGGGUGCGUAGGUGGCGCGUUUAAGUCCGUUGUGAAAGCCCUGGGCUCAACCCAGGAACUGCUUCGGAUACUGGCGCGCUUGAGGCUAGUAGGGGUCACUGGAACUGACGGUGGAGCGGUGAAAUGCGUAGAUAUCGUCAGGAACGCCAAUGGUGAAGACAGGUGACUGGGCUAGUUCUGACACUGAGGCACGAAAGCGUGGGGAGCGAACGGG
rnacentral:rRNA from 1 species